rnacentral:rRNA from 1 species
UACGGGGGGGGCAAGCGUUGUUCGGAAUCACUGGGCGUAAAGGGCUUGUAGGUGGCCAACUAAGUCAGACGUGAAAUCCCUCGGCUUAACCGGGGAACUGCGUCCGAUACUGGAGGGCUUGAGUGCGGGAGAGGGAUGUGGAAUUCCAGGUGUAGCGGUGAAAUGCGUAGAUAUCUGGAGGAACACCGGUGGCGAAGGCGGCAUCCUGGACCGACACUGACGCUGAUGCGCGAAAGCCAGGGGAGCAAACGGG